rnacentral:lncRNA from 1 species
AGCACCGGUCGAAUCAUCGGGGACCACUUCAUUGUCAGUAUUGUUCGUUCGUCAAUGGAGGACGUCGUUGGCGCCUUUUUCAUUCGCCACGCGUCGAUCGAUGGAGGAGACCCACACUGGAUAAUAAAUUUGUCGUCCAUUUCAAAAUCUUGAGCAGGGCGUCUUUGAGCUGGACGGCCGUCCGCACUUCCCGUUUCAUGGCGUUCAGGUGACGCUGGAGCGUUGGCCAGGUGGGCAAAUCGCACGGUAGGAGCACCAGCGCCAUCUCCAAGUCGAUCCUUUCACCGCUUCAAGCGCUCACCCAAAUAUCAUCCGCCUCAACAACAACAACGGCCAACAACUCGACGGACCCAAUUUUUUUUUCUGUCCACCGCCCAGCAAUCUGGUUCAAUUAUCUUUUAGCACAUCCAAAAAGAUGAUUUCUUCUUUUUUUUUUCGGCCAGCGCAGGGCCAGCCAAAGUUCGUUCGGUACAAACGGACGAGAUCUAAGAAACACGGCGAAUCACAGGCUCACAUCAUUUCGCACUACUAAACUUUGGAGACGGACAUUUCGACUGCGGAGAUUUUCAAACUGGAAACUGGUUUGUAGUGUGAUAGCCUUGCAGUGUGUCCGGUCAGUGACUGUGCAAAGGAGGUAGAAGAAACGGACCGAUGCUGCCCGACACAACUGACGAUGGUGUCCGACACGAGCCGUCUGCCUUCUGCCCGUUUGUUGCGGGACCUCCCUCCCUCUCUCUCUUUUGGCUGUUCUGUUGCAGUGCAUACGUGCUUAUACCCAUAGAGCUCCUGCCCAGCUUCUCUGUCUCCUUCUCCAUCCUUCCUUCUCUCUCUAUUCCUUCUUAGCCGAAACGACUUAUUUUUAUAAAUAGAUCCCGGGAGAGCCAACCGACGAAGAAGAAGUAGAAGGGAGGUCGUUCGUCUAAAGGACUCACGCUCGCUCACUCUCUUUUCUGAUUCUUUUCGUUUAUUCUCUCUCUCUUUGAUUUCUUUUCCUUCUUCUUCUUCUCUUGUGUUUUCUUAGCGUUCGUUCGUUUCUGAGCUGGGCGGCGUCGGCACUGCUGCCCGGCUCCCGUCCAGCAGCACAAGCAACAGCAGCGCAUUCUUCAAUUUUCUUGUUGUGUCUCUCGGGCCAAUUAAACCUCGCUGGUUAUGCCGUGGGUUUUUAAAAGGACCCCCCCUUUUUUUGUCUUUUGACUUGUACGGGUGGAGAGGGGGGUCGUGUAUAGUCACGGGCAACUGUGUUUUUACCAAUUUUUUUUUGCCCGGCCAGCAGCAGCAGCAGCCGGCGGAGAAUGGCGCCAACAUCGUCACCUCGUUGUCGCCAAGGAUAUCAAAACGUCCGGACUAUUUUAUUUUUAUUUUUAUUUUUCUUUUCUGUUUUGGCGAAACGGGUAAUCUUGUGUUUCGCCCAGCACCAGCACAUCCUUGUUAUUUUCUCGUUUUACAAUUUCGGGGGUCUUGUGUGUGUGUGUCGCUUGUCGCCGUGAUCGUUUCAAUUGUAAACGUCGCGGACGGCCGUCGUUUUUCGUGACGGAUAACACACAAAAUCACGGCCAGAAAGAAAGAAAAAAAGAAGAGUUUCCAGUGUUUUGCCCCGUCUCGUCUUUCUCCAUCUGUUUUUAGACGGACGUGUAUACACCACACACACACACACACACACACACACACGGGUAACAGUAGAUGACACUGGGGCUGAGCCGGUGACAGCAACAAAACAACUUUAAAUAGAUUAACCCCCCCAACCGAAAAAGAACCUAGCUUGUCGCUUCGACUAUCCUUAAACCCAUCAAAAUAAAAGGGGCCUAUGAAUAAACUAGAAUUCUAAAUUUAUUUUAAUUACAGGGGCCGCAGUGUACGGUGCGUUCAAAAAAUUCUCCUAUCCGUUUUCACCGGGUUAUUGGUUUUUUUAAAUAUUAUUACGGCGGGAGAAAAUGUUGAAUAUCCUGGCGGGGAAAAGUCAAAAGUCAAAAUGUUUUAAUUCUAAAUAAGAUGUGGCAGGUGUCAGGGCUCUGUCAUAAUCCAUGUUCCACCAGCUUCCAGACAUCCGCCAGUUUUUUAUUUUAUUUUAUUUUUUUACUUUUUUCGGGACUUGUCAAAACGGACGGCGGGACUCUCACGGACAUGUGUCUGAAAAAGUGGAAAACCGAUCCCGUCCCUUUUUGCUUUAAAUUUAAAAAGAAAAAAUUGACUGGGAAAUCUUGAAAAAGUU